UGACGUGUUGUUCGCCGAGGCCGUUAAUGCGUACCGGCUUUGCAAGGUCGCGUACCUCCGGAGCAAGGACCUCGAAGCCUGAAUGGCGGAGUUGCAGGUGGCCAAAGGUACGCGUCUUCUAGUGGGUGUAGUCCCCGAGAUUCGGGACGACUAGCGGUUGCAUGGCAGCCGGGCCGGAUCUUCUCAAGUAUGUCUUUUGCUUUGUCUUUUGUCCAGCCGGCUGUUGACUGGCUUUCUUUCUGCAGAGGGAUCAUCCCUGAGGUGGAGGCGGACGAGCUGCGACACGCUGGGGAAGGUCUGGUAGAAGCGGGACGAGGCUGCUGGUGAGCGCGACCGGCUUGGGAACGAGCUCCAGGCGGCGCGGAAGACGGCGGAGCAGCUGGCGGCCAGCCAUAAGGCGGAGUUGGAGCACCUUGGCGCGGAGCUCCAGAAGGAGGUGGCGACCAAGGAGGACGCGACGAAGGCAUUAGUUGUGAAGAAGUGGGAGGAGGAGACCCUCCGCGUCGAGGUGCCCUGGCUCGGAGAGGAGCUCAGCAGCGGAAAAGGCGGCGGAGAAGGCGGCGG
rnacentral:lncRNA from 1 species